UACGUGGGGGGCAAGCGUUGUUCGGAAAUACUGGGCGUAAAGGGCUCGUAGGCGGCCAACUAAGUCGGAUGUGAAAUCCCCAGGCUUAACCUGGGAACUGCAUCCGAUACUGGAUGGCUUGAAUCCGGGAGAGGGAUGCAGAAUUCCAGGUGUAGCGGUGAAAUGCGUAGAGAUCGGGAAGAACAUCGGUGGCGAAAGCGCUCUACUGGACCGCAACUGACACUCAGGGACGAAAGCUAGGGGAGCGAAUGGG
rnacentral:rRNA from 1 species